rnacentral:rRNA from 1 species
GUAGGGGGCAAGCGUUGUCCGGAUUUAUUGGGCGUAAAGAGCGUGUAGGCGGCCUGAAAGGUCAGCUGUGAAAACUCGAGGCUCAACCUCGAGACGUCGGUUGAAACCAUCUGGCUAGAGUCCGGAAGAGGAGUGUGGAAUUCCCGGUGUAGCGGUGAAAUGCGCAGAUAUCGGGAAGAACACCCGUGGCGAAGGCGGCACUCUGGGACGGUACUGACGCUGAGACGCGAAAGCGUGGGGAGCGAACAGGAUUAGAUACCCUGGUAGUCCACGCCGUAAACGAUGGGUGCUAGGUGUGGGGGGUGUCGACUCCCUCCGUGCCGAAGCUAACGCAUUAAGCACCCCGCCUGGGGAGUACGGCCGCAAGGCUA